rnacentral:rRNA from 1 species
GAGUUUGAUCUUGGCUCAGAUUGAACGCUGGCGGCAUGCCUUACACAUGCAAGUCGAACGGUAACAGGUUAAGCUGACGAGUGGCGAACGGGUGAGUAAUGUAUCGGAACGUGCCCAGUCGUGGGGGAUAACUGCUCGAAAGAGCAGCUAAUACCGCAUACGACCUGAGGGUGAAAGCGGGGGAUCGCAAGACCUCGCGCGAUUGGAGCGGCCGAUAUCAGAUUAGGUAGUUGGUGGGGUAAAGGCCUACCAAGCCGACGAUCUGUAGCUGGUCUGAGAGGACGACCAGCCACACUGGGACUGAGACACGGCCCAGACUCCUACGGGAGGCAGCAGUGGGGAAUUUUGGACAAUGGACGCAAGUCUGAUCCAGCCAUGCCGCGUGCGGGAAGAAGGCCUUCGGUUGUAACCGCUUUGUC